UACGUAGGGUGCAAGCGUUGUCCGGAAUUAUUGGGCGUAAAGAGCUCGUAGGCGGUUUGUCGCGUCUGCUGUGAAAACUCGGGGCUUAACCCCGGGCCUGCAGUGGGUACGGGCAGACUAGAGUGCGGUAGGGGAGACUGGAAUUCCUGGUGUAGCGGUGAAAUGCGCAGAUAUCAGGAGGAACACCCGUAGCGAAGGCGGCACUCUGGGCCGAUACUGACACUGAGACGCGAAGGCGUGGGGAGCGAACGGG
rnacentral:rRNA from 1 species